GUCAAACUGAAGGCGAGCCGGAGAAGCGGUGGCUGCGGCUGGAGCGGCGCCCCUUCCCGGCAGGGCGGCAGUAAAGAAUGCUGAGGUGAAUAAACGUCUUGGCUUUAAUGAAAAAUAAACUUUUUAAUAUUUUCACUUCAGGACAUAUUUUCCUCCCAGCUGGUUUUUGCCUUCGGAGACUUUCACCACCGGAAUAAAGAUUGACAAAUGAUUGAUUCAUUUAAUUAACGAAGUAAAAUGCUUCAAUCCUUUCCUUCAAUUGCUUCACUGGAUUUCUUAUUCCUAAGGAUAUGUUUCUGCACAUUCUGCUUAAUUAGACUGGGCUAUGACUAAUUAGCAAAACUAAUUAGCAGGAAUUUAAUUUAGGGGGAAAGGGAACUCUUGAUUUUUUUUAAAAAAAAGAGUUUGAUUAUCAUCGAGUUGAAAGAAAGUGCUCUUUAAUAAUUGUAAUUCAGUGCAAUAUGGUGAUUUACGUUCCCAGAGCAAAGUUAGUAGGUAUGUCAUGGAACAGAGAAAUAGUUUCAGGAAAGGAAAUGAAAGUAUUAAGGCUCAGCAGACUGAAUUAAAAACAAAACAAAACAAUUGUUCGCUUGUUUUAAUUUGUUCCACAAAAAUGCAGAAGCAGUUUCGAAAUUACACCUUGGAGUAUGUACAAGAAGCAGUUGCUGAAUAGUUUCAGAUCUGAUGGAUUUCAGAUGGCUUGUAGAUUAGUUUUCCAAGGUUUUCCUCACAACCAUUCAUUUAGUGACCGUUUGAAGUUACAACGGACUGAAAAAAGUGACUUAUUAUCAUUUUUCACACUUCUGGCAAAAUCAGUGGGAAGCUGCCAGAUUUGCUUAAUGACCACACGACUCAACUUUGAUUUGUUUAACAACUGUGGCAGAAAUGAUCGUAAAAGGUGGCAAAACUCAAUAGCUGCCUAUUAAGUGAAACUUUGGGCUCAGUUGCGUUUGAAAGUUUGAGGAGCGCCUGUAUUUGUUUUGUUUUUGUUUUAACUAUGCAAUAUUGGUAUUGUAGAUUAUCAUCUUUCAUAAUUUCAGAUUUUAUGGCUAAUGUUUUUGAUUUUGAAGUCUGCACGUAAUACAAACGGAUGGGCUGAGAACUGAAUAAAUGCUUAUUCAGUUAGGAGAAGUUAGAGGCGCCCCAGGUCAAGAGGCCUCAUGAAGCCCAAAGCUUUCCAACCAAGUUUUCCAGUCUUAAGGAAUAAAUAUUCUGAGAUUUUUUCACUGAAUAGUUGAUAAAGUAGAAGUUGAAUAUAGUUUUUAAUUUACUGUAAGUUAUUAUCUUUAUAUAAGUUUCUCUAAUGUUUGAAACUGGGAAAAUAAUAUAUCUCCCCAGCUUGAAACAUUAGAGAAACAGAGAUCAAGGUUAGAUAAAAUUGACUGGGUGGGAACUUUACAAAUUUUGAAAGUAGUGUUUACGGGUUAGUUUUCCUUGAAUAAUUUUUUCAGAAACCUUGAAAAAUGAAAUCUGACAUUACUUUAAAAAAAAAAAAAAGUUGGCAACGAAACUAAAGUGAUUUUGAAAAUCACUUUUAGAAUCUGUAGCAACACUUAUCUCGGGUAUAUUUAAUUAAAAAUAUUAAAGCUUCCUCUUGAAACCUGUCAAGUUCAACGUAGAUUGAUAGAGCUUGCUUCUCUUGUCUUAUUUCUGACCUUGCAGCUUUCUAAAACUCUUUGUUUAGAAGACAGCCAGGGGAGGGUAUUCAAAAUUCACUUUGAACUUGCAAAACUUGUUUAACUACAUCUGCGCUUAACAGUGAUAGUUGCUUUGUUGCAGAUUAAAGGAAAAAGAUAGACAGAAAAACCUGUGUACAAUUGGGAUAGGUGACAGAACGAAGGAGAAAUCCUUGUGUCUACAUCAGUG